rnacentral:rRNA from 1 species
CGGAGGGUGCGAGCGUUCGUCCGGAAUCACUGGGCGUAAAGGGCGCGUAGGCGGCCUGAUAAGUAGGGGGUGAAAUCCUGAGGCUUAACCUCAGGGCUGCCUUCUAAACUGUCAGGCUCGAGCACUGUAGAGGCAGGUGGAAUUCCCGGUGUAGCGGUGGAAUGCGUAGAGAUCGGGAAGAACAUCAGUGGCGAAGGCGGCCUGCUGGGCUGUUGCUGACGCUGAGGCGCGACAGCGUGGGGAGCAAAACAGGAUUAGAUACCCUGGUAGUCCACGCCGUAAAACGAUGGGCACUAGGCGUCGGGGGGAGCGACCUCCCGGUGCCGUCGCUAACGCAGUAAAGUGCCCGCCUGGGAGUACGGCCGCAAGGCU